rnacentral:tRNA from 1 species
GGGCCGUUAGCUCAGUUGGCAGAGCACCGGCCUUUUAAGCCGGGUGUCGACGGUUCGAGCCCGUCACGGCCCA